UUGAUCAUGGCUCAGAUUGAACGCUGGCGGCAGGCCUAACACAUGCAAGUCGAACGGUAACAUUUCUAGCUUGCUAGAAGAUGACGAGUGGCGGACGGGUGAGUAAUGCUUGGGAACUUGCCUUUGCGAGGGGGAUAACAGUUGGAAACGACUGCUAAUACCGCAUAAUGUCUUCGGACCAAACGGGGCUUCGGCUCCGGCGCAAAGAGAGGCCCAAGUGAGAUUAGCUAGUUGGUAAGGUAACGGCUUACCAAGGCGACGAUCUCUAGCUGUUCUGAGAGGAAGAUCAGCCACACUGGGACUGAGACACGGCCCAGACUCCUACGGGAGGCAGCAGUGGGGAAUAUUGCACAAUGGGGGAAACCCUGAUGCAGCCAUGCCGCGUGUGUGAAGAAGGCCUUCGGGUUGUAAAGCACUUUCAGUUGUGAGGAAAAGUUAGUAGUUAAUACCUGCUAGAAAUGACGUUA
rnacentral:rRNA from 1 species